rnacentral:rRNA from 1 species
UAGGGAGUUUUCGACAAUGGGGGCAACCCUGAUCGAGCAACGCCGCGUGUGUGAUGAAGGUCUUCGGAUUGUAAAGCACUUUUAUAAGGGAUAAAUGGUAUUGAUAGUGGAAAGAUUAAUAUUUGAUAGUACCUUAUGAAUAAGUAACGACUAACUUCGUGCCAGCAGUCGCGGUAAUACGAAGGUUACGAGCGUUAUCCGGAAUUAUUGGGCGUAAAGAGUGAGCAGGCGGUUUAUUAAGUUUGAAGUCAAAUGGAUAGGCUCAACCUAUUCUCGCUUCAAAAACUGAUAGACUAGAGUAUGUGAGAGGUAAGUAGAACUCCAUGUGUAGCGGUGAAAUGCAUAGAUAUAUGGAAGAAUACCAGUGGCGAAGGCGGCUUACCAGCACAAGACUGACGCUCAGUCACGAAAGCGUGGGUAGCAAAUAGG